UACGGAGGGAGCUAGCGUUGUUCGGAAUUACUGGGCGUAAAGCGCGCGUAGGCGGCUUUGUAAGUUAGAGGUGAAAGCCCGGAGCUCAACUCCGGAACUGCCUUUAAGACUGCAUCGCUUGAAUCCAGGAGAGGUGAGUGGAAUUCCGAGUGUAGAGGUGAAAUUCGUAGAUAUCGGGAGGAACACCAGUGGCGAAGGCGGCGACCUGGACGGACACUGACGCUGAGACGCGAAAGCGUGGGGAGCAAACAGG
rnacentral:rRNA from 1 species